CUAGCACUUUAGCAGCAUCCACGCUAAGCCCUUCUGCCAUAAUUGCACCGGCCUCUUGUUGCUGCUUGUUUAUGUCACUCCGCCGCGCCUGAGAGUACUGCCCCUCGUGGCUGACUGGUCCUUUCACCCUCUAACUGGGCCCGAACAGUUCACACGGAAGCUUUGCAAAAUGAAUUCGCCAGUGAAAAAUAAGGAAAUGGGCAUAACCAUCUGCUUUGCAAGGUUAGACGAGACCCUUGAGGAAGGAAAGCUAUCACAAGAUCAUGCAACCCUGAUGAGCUGUUGUGGGAGCAGUUAACCACAUGAAGGAAGACUCCGUCAACCCAAGCCAUGCUUCAGAAAGCGUUGGCUGAAAUCUCAUCAGAUUUCCUUGGAAAAACUGAUAGCUGGAAUGCCUGAGGUCUUCACAGCUGUAGCUACUGAAAACGAUGUUUUUCAUGAAAGCAAAGUUUAAAGAACAUUUUUCAUUAAAAUCAUUUUUUCUAACUGUGACGAUAUCAGCAUGACCAGUUUAUUUGCUGUUUUUCCUAUUCAGACUAAUAACAUGAAUAUUUCCGUGGAAUACAAGAAAAAUUCCAACUGAUCCCAAACUUGGUUUUUACAGCUUAACUUUACAAGAGACUAUAAUUUUGCUAACCUCCAUGGGCCCCCUAUUUGUCUGGGCUCCAGAAAGCUCUCCCCUUUUUCCCCCUUAAGGGUGGCCUUGUUUCCCAUGUUCUAGCAACAUCCUAAAACCAGCUUUGUGAUUUGACAAGCUGAAGUGCAUACAUCAUCAUCAUCAUCAUUAGAUUGACUGAUUCCGGCUGCAACAGCUCAGUUCUGAUAGCAGAAAUGGUUGGGUCAUAAACCAAUAAUUUAGAAUUUCAUGGUGAUUUCGAGAAUGGUGACCCUUGGCUACACCCUUUGAAUCACUACAGCAUCAGUGCUUUUUUAAAUUGUUUUUUAACUGCAAAACUUAUCCAUCCUUACCAUAACCUGACAGAAUCAGUAAGGAAGUGAUUGUUGCUCUUUUUGCAGAAGGAGUGAUCCACCCCCACCACUCCAGGUUAUCCCUCUAUUCUUGUUUCCUGGCACUGGCUGGAGGCCUUAUUGUGCCUCACACAAACAGUGUAUUUGUCUGUUUCAUGCCUGUUUAAACUUGGAUUAAUCCCUGUUAUAAAGACAGAAAAGUAAAGUCCUGCUAAAGAAAGGAUUUUCCAUGGAAAGAAAUUGUUCAAACGUCCAGUUAGACAGAAGAGAACAUGGAUGAUAAGCUCUGAGAUCUUAAGUGGAUCAGAAAGCUGCUGUGAGUGGUAAAUCAUUAGUUGCUUUGUAAAUCAUUAAUGCUGGUAAUAAGAUAGUGCUGCUCUGAAACGUCCUUAGCAUGAGAGAAAUUUAUCUUCUCUGGAACAAAAGGAAAACCUGACACCACACCCAUUUAUCUCCGAGCACAGGGAGCGGACGGUGGCUUCUAACUGCUUGCCUGAGUAGCCAGCACUAAAUCAGUCAUAAAAUAAUUCAGUGGUUUUGUUAUCAGAUCAAGCAUGUGUGUAAGGGGAAUGUUGUUAAAAUACCCAAGAGACUGAAGGAAGUGAAAGAGUUUUGCACCACCAACAAAAGGAUGUUUAAACAGAAGAAAUGUCAUCACUGGCCAGCAGGAAGUCUUUAAAAGGAAGUGACAGUUUUAGUGGAUUCCAAGGAACAAGGCUAGAUUACAAGGGCUGGGAAGUAAGAGGGGGGCUUUGUGUUUUUUCAUAACUUCUCUGGAAAGAGCAUCCAUCUGAGGAGAGAGAGUAUAAAAAGAAGGUGCAGCAAACAUGGGGCACAAAGUCCGUUACUCUCAGACGGAUUAACACUUCAGCGGUGUGUUUUCUAAACCUGAGAAGGAAAUCCCAACAGAACGACCACCAAAAUGAGGACUGCAAUCAUCUGCAUAAUUUUCCUGGCCUGUGCUUCUGUUUGCUUUUCAGCACCUAUUCUUGACUGCCGUUGCCCACGUGCAAACAAGAACGUAAGAGUCGCUAACAUCGAGGAUGUCCAGAUUCUUGAUCCCCGUCCAUACUGUCAGAAGCUGGAGGUCAUUGUGACGCUGAAAACCGGUGGCUCGCGGUGUCUCGACCCCAGAGAAGCGUUCACUCAGGCGAUCAUGAAAGCCAAACGACUGUCCAUGGUUCGUGCUUUGAUGAAGAGGAACACCAUCAACCUAUCCACAACCACUCUGUUGACCACAGUGACAUCAACAUCACCAUAGUACAUCUGACUGUGCUCCUCACCGAUUCGAUUGAACAAGGUGUGGGUUUAAAGUAAGAAAGGUCUUUUCACCCCUGGUAAUACACCCAGAGACCACCAGGCCUUUGGUGCAUCCAUAGCACGACAAGUGGCUCAUGGCAACCUUACUCCCCGCCCAGAUGGGCGCCACAUCCACCUCUUACUGUGUUCCAAAUGUGUGGACUGGUUAUUUUUUUCAACAGACUAUUUUAUCAUUCACCUGGUAAAAUGUAAAGACAUCCAGAGUAUUACCGGGCUUGUACCAAUCCUCCUUUUCACCUGAUGAUGCCCUCAGGUGGGCUUACUCGCCACAUCUAUGCCUUAAGGAGACAAGAGAUACACCACAAACAUCAUGUUGUGAUGCAAUGUAAACAAAACAUGGUUCUGACUUAGGCUGGCCAAACACUUCAGGAUCUGUAGCCUGAUUUGAGGCAAGGUUUGCCUCCCCCAUUGAUUGUGGGGGCGGAGCCUCGUCGCAAACAACUAUCUGUCUUGAUAAUCCUUGUGUGUGGUCACCACGAUUACUUUACCGCUGCAAAUCCUCGCCUCCCAGACCCCGAGUCGUAAAUAUCAAACAUGUUUGGUAUUUACGAUUCAAGGUCAUAGUGCCUUUUGAUGUAGCACCCACAUCAACCAAUGAGAGCGAGCAGACCAGGUAGCAUAACCAGCCAGAUCGUACGUACUUUCCCCACUCACUGUGCCUCUAUUCCACCCAGGAAUUCAUCCUGAUUCUUGUCCUUGUUUUCUAAUUUUUGUGGCUGAGUCGUUUAAUGCAGGGGUGUCAAACUCAAGGCCUGGGGGCCAAAUCCGGCCCGUGGUAGUUAUACCCGGCCUGCAAGGUUCUAUCAUAUUUUUGUUAUAACUGUCCCCCCCAGUAUAAGGUCUGCAGAUUUCCUCCUGUAUAAAAAUGUAAACUAAACCUCAAUGAUUUAAAAAAAAUCCUUUUUAAAACUUACAAAUUUUG